CCUACGGGAGGCAGCAGUGGGGAAUCUUAGACAAUGGGGGCAACCCUGAUCUAGCCAUGCCGCGUGAGUGAUGAAGGCCUUAGGGUCGUAAAGCUCUUUCGCCUGUGAUGAUAAUGACAGUAGCAGGUAAAGAAACCCCGGCUAACUCCGUGCCAGCAGCCGCGGUAAUACGGAGGGGGUUAGCGUUGUUCGGAAUUACUGGGCGUAAAGCGCGCGUAGGCGGAUUAGAAAGUUGGGGUGAAAUCCCGGGGCUCAACCCCGGAACUGCCUCCAAAACUGCUAGUCUAGAGUUCGAGAGAGGUGAGUGGAAUUCCGAGUGUAGAGGUGAAAUUCGUAGAUAUUCGGAGGAACACCAGUGGCGAAGGCGGCUCACUGGCUCGAUACUGACGCUGAGGUGCGAAAGUGUGGGGAGCAAACAGGAUUAGAUACCCUGGUAGUCCACACCGUAAACGAUGAAUGCCAGUCGUCGGAUAGUAUACUAUUCGGUGACACACCUAACGGAUUAAGCAUUCCGCCUGGGGAGUACGGUCGCAAGAUUAAAACUCAAAGGAAUUGACGG
rnacentral:rRNA from 1 species